CACAGUCUGGCAUCAGACAGGGGUAAAAGCAGUAAUGCGUUUUGAGAUGGUCCUGUGUCCUAUCAGCUUGUUGGUGAGGUAACGGCUCACCAAGGCUAUGACGGGUAUCCGGCCUGAAAGGGUGAACGGACACACUGGAACUGAGACACGGUCCAGACUCCUACGGGAGGCAGCAGUGGGGAAUUUUGGACAAUGGGGGAAACCCUGAUCCAGCGACGCCGCGUGAAGGAUGAAGGCCUUCGGGUUGUAAACUUCUUUUGGAGGGGACGAAUAAAUUGACGGUACCCUCAGAAAAAGCCACGGCUAACUACGUGCCAGCAGCCGCGGUAAUACGUAGGUGGCGAGCGUUACUCGGAAUUACUAGGCGUAAAGCGUAUGUAGGCGGUUGUAUAAGUCUAUGGUGAAAUUUCCUGGCUCAACUGGGAAGGGACAUAGAUACUGUAUGGCUUGAGUGUUGGAGGGGGAGACGGAAUUCCUGGUGUAGCGGUGAAAUGCGUAGAUAUCAGGAGGAACACCGAUGGCGAAAGCAGUCUCCUGGCCAAAUACUGACGCUGAGGUACGAAAGCUAGGGUAGCAAACAGGAUUAGAUACCCUGGUAGUCCUAGCUGUAAACGAUGUUCACUAGAUGUGGGAGGUAUCGACCCCUUCCGCGUCGACGCUAACGCAUUAAGUGAACCGCCUGGGGAGUACGGCCGCAAGGUUGAAACUCAAAUGAAUUGACGG
rnacentral:rRNA from 1 species